ensembl:lncRNA
AUUACUAAAUAAACUCCGAAACAGUCCCUCUGCACACAACUAUGCUGCUCUUGCCAAAGUCACACUGUCCCAAGUCAUCCUGUUCAAUAGACGAAGAGAAGGUGAGGUGUCACGGAUGCUUUUAUCAGCUUUUCAAAGCCGGGAUUCUUCUGAGCUACAUGAAGACAUAGCCAUCUGUCUUUCUGAAUUUGAGAGGAAGUUGUGUAAGCACUUCACCAGAGUGGAGAUUCGUGGUAAACGGGGGAGAAAGGUUCCUGUGCUCCUCAAGCCUUCAUUGGUUUCUGCCAUGGAGCUGCUUGUUGAAACACGUGAGGUUUGUGGCGUGCCAGCUGAGAAUCCCUUCAUGUUUGCUAGAUCUGGAGCAAUAUCUGCCUACAGAGGAGGAGAGUGCAUAAGGAGAGCUGCUCGUGAAUGUGGCAUUAAGAAUCCUGAAGCACUCUCAUCAACUAGGCUCAGGAAACACAUAGCAACAAUGUCAAAAAUUCUUAACCUUGAUGAGAAUGAAGCAGAUCAGCUGGCUGAUUUCCUCGGCCACGAUAUCAGAAUACACAGACAGUAUUACCGGUUACCAGAGGGCACUUUGCAGCUCGCAAAGAUGAGCAAAGUCUUGAUGGCAAUGGAAAAAGGGACACUGUCAUCCUUUAAAGGAAAGCGCCUUGAUGACAUUGAAAUCGACCCUAAUGAGCAACUUGAGGCACAAGACGAUGCCAUGUCAAGUGAUGAGGAGGAUGCAGACGAAGAGAGCUGCAGUGACUUCCCUCAGAC